AGGAGGAACAACCCCAGUGGUUGCUGCAGCUCUGGAAACCUGGAUUCAGCUCCCGCAGGAACUACUCCGUCUACAGGGGCCAGGAGGCUCCGGGGCGGG
rnacentral:pre_miRNA from 1 species